rnacentral:rRNA from 1 species
CAAUAGCGUAUAUUAAAGUUGUUGCAGUUAAAAAGCUCGUAGUUGGAUUUCUGGAUGGAGCGACCGGUCGGGCAUUAAUUUGUCUGCACUGGAGUCGGUUCCGUCCAUCCUCUUGGAAAGUGCGUCGGGCAUUAAGUUGUUUGGCGUAUGAUCCAAGUCGUUUACUGUGAAAAAAUUAGAGUGUUUAAAGCAGGCCUUCGCCUUGAAUACAUUAGCAUGGAAUAAUAAGAUAGGACUUUGGUCUAUUUUGUUGGUUCGCAGACCGAAGUAAUGAUUAAUAGGGAUAGUUGGGGGUAUUUAUAUUCCGAUGUCAGAGGUGAAAUUCUUAGAUUUUCGGAAGAUAAACUUAUGCGAAAGCAUUUACCAAGGAUGUUUUCAUUAA